GGCGAAUGGGUGCGAAACACGUAGGUGACCUGCCCUGAAGUGGGGAAUAACAGUCCGAAAGGAUUGCUAAUACCGCAUACGGUUCAAGGCGUUAGAGAACUUGAACCAAAGCUCGCAAGGGCGCUUCAGGAGGGGCCUGCGGCCCAUCAGGUAGUUGGUGGGGUAAUGGCCUACCAAGCCGACGACGGGUAGGGGACCUGAGAGGGUGGCCCCCCACACUGGCACUGACACACGGGCCAGACUCCUACGGGAGGCAGCAGUCGGGAAUAUUGCCCAAUGGACGAAAGUCUGAGGCAGCAACGCCGCGUGUGCGAUGAAGGCCUUCGGGUCGUAAAGCGCUUUUCGGGAGGAUGAGGAAGGACAGUACUCCCGGAAUAAGGAACGGCUAACUACGUGCCAGCAGUCGCGGUAAAACGUUGGUUCCGAGCGUUAUCCGGAUUUACUGGGCGUAAAGCGUGUUCAGGCGGCCUGUCUAGUCGGGCAUGAAAUCUCUCGGCUCUUCCGUGAUGGGCUGUCCGAAACUGACGGGCUGGAGGGCAUGAUAGGGUGGUGGAAUUUUUGUUGUAUUUUGAAAUGCUUUCUAUCCGGUGGAAUACCAUUGGCUAAGUGGUC
rnacentral:rRNA from 1 species